rnacentral:tRNA from 1 species
GGGGGCAUAGCUCAGUUGGGAGAGCAGCAGACUGAAGCAAGUUGGGUUCUGAAGGUCCCGCGUUCAAUCCGCGGUGCCCCCA